rnacentral:rRNA from 1 species
AUCAACGCUGGCGGCGUGCCUAACACAUGCAAGUCGAACGCGAAAGUGGAGCAAUCCAUGAGUAGAGUGGCAAACGGGUGAGUAACGCGUGGGCGACCUACCUUCGAGCGGGGGAUAACCUUCCGAAAGGAGGGCUAAUACCGCAUGACAUCCCGUGUUUAGAUACACGGAGAUCAAAGCCGGGGAUCGUAAGACCUGGCACUUGAAGAGGGGCCCGCGUCCGAUUAGCUAGUUGGUGAGGGUAACGGCUCACCAAGGCUCCGAUCGGUAUCCGGCCUGAGAGGGCGGACGGACACACUGGAACUGAGACACGGUCCAGACUCCUACGGGAGGCAGCAGUGGGGAAUUGUUCACAAUGGGCGCAAGCCUGAUGACGCAACGCCGCGUGGAGGAUGAAGACCUUCGGGUCGUAAACUCCUUUCGACCGAGAUGAAUUCCUUGCGACCUAACACGUCGCGAGGGUGACAGUAUCGAGGGAAGAAGCCCCGGCUAACUCUGUGCCAGCAGCCGCGGUAAUACGAGGGGGGGCAAGCGUUGUUCGGAAUUACUGGGCGUAAAGGGCUCUGUAGGCUGUGCUGUAAGUCAGACUGUGAAAUCCCUCCUGCUCAACUGGGAACUUGCAGUCUGAUACUGCCGUGCUGGAGUUGAGGAGAGGAACGCGGAAUUCCAGGUGUAGCGGUGAAAUGCGUAGAUAUCUGGAGGAACACCGGUGGCGAAGGCGGCGUCUGGACUGCAACUGACACUGAAAGCCAAAAGCUAGGGGAGCAAACAGGAUUAGAUACCCUGGUAGUCCUAGGCCCUAAACCUAUGAAUGCUUGGUGUGGCGGGUAUCCGAUCCCCUGCGUGCCGGAGCUAACGCGAUUAAGCAUUCCGCCUGGGGAGUACGGUCGCAAGGCUGAAACUCAAAGGAAUUGACGGGGGCCCGCACAAGCGGUGGAGCAUGUGGUUCAAUUCGACGCAACGCGAAGAACCUUACCUGGGCUCGAAAUCGCAGAUGACCAUCCGGUGGAAACAGUCGGACUCCGCAAGGUACGCUGUCUAGGUGCUGCAUGGCUGCCGUCAGCUCGUGUCGUGAGAUGUUGGGUUAAGUCCCGCAACGAGCGCAACCCUUCGUUCCUGUUGCCAUCACGUCAAUGGCUGGGCACUCUGAGCGACCGCCGCGGAUAAACCGGGAGGAAGGUGGGGAUGACGUCAAGUCCGCAUGGCCUUUAUGUCCAGGGCUACACACGUGCUACAAUGGCGGUACAAACCGUCGCGAUCCCGCGAGGGGGAGCUAAUCGGAGAAAGCCGGCCUCAGUUCGGAUUGGAGGCUGCAACUCGACUGCCAUGAAGCUGGAAUCGCUAGUAAUCGCAGAUCAGAACGCUGCGGUGAAUACGUUCCCGGGCCUUGUACACACCGCCCGUCACAUCACGAAAGCUGGGUGAUACUAGAAAUUGCCGUUCGUCUAACCCGCAAGGGGGACAGGUACUCCAAGGUAUGACUCAGUGAUUGGGGUG